AAGAAAACAUCCUAGAACGUCAUCCUCUGAGACUCAGUACAUAAAGAGGAGACUAAAACCUCUGUAGCUUCAAAAACGGGGAAGGAGCAAUGAGGGUAAGGGGGCGAAAGACAUUAGCAGGUUCGAAAGCCAGUAAUUCCAAUUAGAAAGCAAAACACAAAAUACAAAAAAUUAAAUAAAGGAAAAAGCCAAGACGGAGAAGCUCCCGGAAGUAAAAUCAACAAUCGAGAAGGGUAAAGCAAAAGCGCGGAAGCGGCCACCGAAUGUUCCCACGGCUCAAAGCCACGGGACCGCGACCCGCAGGAGGCCCGAGGCCCAGGACACCCGCGACCCGGAACGCAAACCUCGAGCCCGAGGCACCGCGGGGGCGAGUUCCCGGGAACGCCUCCCGCCCUUCUCAGGCAACCCCGCCCACUGGGCCCGCCCCGUCCCGCCGGCUACUCACCGGAUUCGCUUCCCACAUAACGGAUUCCCGGGACUUGGCCCAGUGCUUGGCUGUGGAUUUCUGCAUCUGUUCCAUCAGUAACUGGACGAAGGCUCUCCGAUAACAAUUGGGGUAUCCAAAACUCACAAGACUGUUUUUUAGCAAGUCUCUCAGCAAGGCUGUGGACAAACCCUUUUACAAACUGGGUAGCUAGCGACUGAGGGACCUACUGGUUGAAGUCCUCGUUGAACAAACCACCGUACCCAGGAAGCCCUCAGACAGUGUCAUACUAACUCAGAGGGGGACUGAACAGGAUGCCACCAGCCCUUGUUUGGGCCCAGUGACACAGUAUGCCGGCUUGCACACGUGGACAGACACAAAGCGAGAAGAGUAACUAACAUGCUGCUGUGUGGUAGAGGCGGGAUGGGCGUCUACCAACAAGAAGCCAAAGGAAACACAGCAGGAUGCAAUGGGAGGGAAACAAAGGUUCUUUAUUUCAGUUAAAAAAGAAAUAAAUGGAAAAAAGCUCAGUUCUUUGAAGCACUGAAGCAAGACAACAUGAAAAAAGUCUUAAGAAUUUUAGUUAAGAAAAAGCCGGCGUGACCAAAGAAACAGUUCUUGGUACAGACACAAGACAACUGGACAAACAAACAAACAAAAAUGAGCAGACCUCCAUGAUUGAGAGGAAUUUGUUCAGAGCAGGGCGGUGAGACUGGAGCUAUUGUCUGUCUCUGAGCAUCAUGGCUUACUAUGGGCACCACGUUUCUCCUGCACUGCCACCUUUGUUAUUCUUUUAGUCCUGAAAGAAUACAGUCAUCAUCACAAAGGGCAGAGUGGCAGAAAAAAGAAAAACGUCACUUUACGUUCACUUCAUAGACAACCGUUGCCAUCUUGGCUUUGAAAACACGGCUUUGAUAGAUAUGUAUUACCCUAUGGUACGACCAUGCUCGGCUUUAAAUGCCUCUAUUUUGAGUACUUGCACUUCCUCCGUUUGGAGGUGCUGGUGGUAAGGUGGCAUGCUGAUUUUAAAGAGGAUACCGACAAAGUAGUGGGCAACCCAGGGAGAACACUAGAUUCGUGAAUUGUCCUGGAAAUCAUGUCACAAGAGGGGCGUUUCCAAAACCUGUGAAGGCUGAUUCCAGAGAGGAGCCCUGACAGCGGGCCACUCCCAACUCCAUAAUGCCGUCAAGUGGGAAAAGGAAUGAAUUCAUUUUGUGUGGCUCCAGCAGGUCAAACCAAGAGCAGAAAAGUGGUUGGAGGGAGCCUGGCUUUAUCCCCAUGGACAACAAAUCCCUGCAGCCCACCAGCAGACUGAGCAGCCUUAUGAGGGAGAAAUGAUGAAAUCCUGGAAAGUGGACAAUUGGAGGUAAGACGGCCACCUGGAUCAAGAAUGUGGGAAGAAAUUCCUAUAUUCCUUCUGACUGUAAGACUUGGUGCUUCUUUUCUGAGUUAAAAAGAGGUCAUGAAGAACGUUAUCAGUGGCAAGUAGCAAAAAAGUCAAUGCCAUUCACUGUACUGUUGGUAUACGUAAGCAUUAAAAUUCACAGAUACAAGA